GGGUCCGUAGCUCAGCCUGGAUAGAGCAAUUGCCUUCUAAGCAAGAGGUCGGGGGUCCGAAUCCCCCCGGACCCG
rnacentral:tRNA from 1 species